UAAUACAUUACAACUUUCAGCGGUGGAUGUCUAGGUUCCCACAACGAUGAAGAACGCAGCGAAAUGCGAUACGUAAUGCGAAUUGCAAGACCUCGUGAAUCAUCAGGAUUUUGAACGCACAUUGCGCUUUCGGGUAUUCCCGGUAGCAUGCUUGUCUGAGUGUCUGUGGAU
rnacentral:rRNA from 1 species